GGAAUAUAAGAACUGUCUCUUAACUUUUAACUAAAAAAAAUUAAGAACCAGCUCUUAAAUAAGAGUUUUAAGAGCCGGUUCUUAACUUUUUUAGUUAAAAGUUAAGAGACGGGUUCUUAUAUUCU
rfam:Brassica napus, WGS project CCCW01000000 data, contig: 16960